rnacentral:rRNA from 1 species
UACGAAGGGGGCUAGCGUUGCUCGGAAUCACUGGGCGUAAAGCGCACGUAGGCGGAUUCCUAAGUCGGGGGUGAAAUCCUGGAGCUUAACUCCAGAACUGCCUUCGAUACUGGGAAUCUUGAGUCCGGAAGAGGUGAGUGGAACUGCGAGUGUAGAGGUGAAAUUCGUAGAUAUUCGCAAGAACACCAGUGGCGAAGGCGGCUCACUGGUCCGGUACUGACGCUGAGGUGCGAAAGCGUGGGGAGCGAACAGG